AGAGUUUGAUCAUGGCUCAGGAUGAACGCUGGCGGCGUGCUUAACACAUGCAAGUCGAGCGAAGCACUUGGGAUUGAUUUCUUCGGAAUGAAAUCUCAUUUGACUGAGCGGCGGACGGGUGAGUAACGCGUGGGUGACCUGCCCCAUACCGGGGGAUAACAGCUGGAAACGGCUGCUAAUACCGCAUAAGCGCACGGAGCUGCAUGGCUCAGUGUGAAAAACUCCGGUGGUAUGGGAUGGGCCCGCGUCUGAUUAGGCAGUUGGCGGGGUGACGGCCCACCAAACCGACGAUCAGUAGCCGACCUGAGAGGGCGACCGG
rnacentral:rRNA from 1 species